rnacentral:rRNA from 1 species
CCUACGGGGGGCUGCAGUGGGGAAUAUUGGACAAUGGGGGGAACCCUGAUCCAGCCAUGCCGCGUGUGUGAAGAAGGCCCUCGGGUUGUAAAGCACUUUCAGUGAGGAAGAACUCCUGGUGGUUAAUACCCAUCAGGAAAGACAUCACUCACAGAAGAAGCACCGGCUAACUCCGUGCCAGCAGCCGCGGUAAUACGGAGGGUGCGAGCGUUAAUCGGAAUUACUGGGCGUAAAGCGCGCGUAGGUGGCUUGAUAAGCCGGUUGUGAAAGCCCCGGGCUCAACCUGGGAACGGCAUCCGGAACUGUCAAGCUAGAGUGCAGGAGAGGAAGGUAGAAUUCCCGGUGUAGCGGUGAAAUGCGUAGAGAUCGGGAGGAAUACCAGUGGCGAAGGCGGCCUUCUGGACUGACACUGACACUGAGGUGCGAAAGCGUGGGUAGCAAACAGGAUUAGAUACCCGUGUAGUC